rnacentral:rRNA from 1 species
CCUACGGGUGGCAGCAGUGGGGAAUAUUGCACAAUGGGGGAAACCCUGAUGCAGCGACGCCGCGUGAGUGAUGAAGUAUUUCGGUAUGUAAAGCUCUAUCAGCAGGGAAGAUAAUGACGGUACCUGACUAAGAAGCUCCGGCUAAAUACGUGCCAGCAGCCGCGGUAAGACGUAGGGAGCAAGCGUUAUCCGGAUUUACUGGGUGUAAAGGGAGCGCAGACGGCAGGGCAAGUCUGAUGUGAAAGUCCGGGGCGCAACCCCGGGACUGCAUUGGAAACUGUCCGGCUAGAGUGCAGGAGAGGUAAGUGGAAUUCCUAGUGUAGCGGUGAAAUGCGUAGAUAUUAGGAGGAACACCAGUGGCGAAGGCAGCUUACUGGACUGUAACUGACGUUGAGGCUCGAAAGCGUGGGGAGCAAACAGGAUUAGAUACCCUUGUAGUC